rnacentral:rRNA from 1 species
UACGAAGGGGGCUAGCGUUGUUCGGAAUUACUGGGCGUAAAGCGCACGUAGGCGGAUAUUUAAGUCAGGGGUGAAAUCCCAGAGCUCAACUCUGGAACUGCCUUUGAUACUGGCGAUCUCGAGUCCGGGAGAGGUGAGUGGAACUGCGAGUGUAGAGGUGAAAUUCGUAGAUAUUCGCAAGAACACCAGUGGCGAAGGCGGCUCACUGGCCCGGUACUGACGCUGAGGUGCGAAAGCGUGGGGAGCAAACAGG